rnacentral:lncRNA from 1 species
GAACCUACCACAGCAGCACCACCUACAACAUCAGUGACAACUGAGGAACCUACCACAGCAGCACAACCGACAACGUCAGUGACAACUGAGGAACCUACCACGGCAGCACCACCUACAACAUCAAUGACAACUGAGGG